rnacentral:rRNA from 1 species
CCUACGGGAGGCAGCAGUGGGGAAUAUUGGACAAUGGGGGGAACCCUGAUCCAGCGACGCCGCGUGAGUGAAGAAGUAUUUCGGUAUGUAAAGCUCUAUCAGCAGGGAAGCAAGAAAUGACGGUACCUGACUAAGAAGCCCCGGCUAACUACGUGCCAGCAGCCGCGGUAAUACGUAGGGGGCAAGCGUUAUCCGGAUUUACUGGGUGUAAAGGGAGCGUAGGCGGCGAUGCAAGUCUGAAGUGAAAGGCGGGGGCCUAACCCCCGGACUGCUUUGGAAACUGGAUGGCUGGAGUGCAGGAGAGGUAAGUGGAAUGCCUAGUGUAGCGGUGAAAUGCGUAGAUAUUAGGAGGAACACCAGUGGCGAAGGCGGCUUACUGGACUGUAACUGACGUUGAGGCACGAAAGCGUGGGGAGCAAACAGGAUUAGAUACCCCAGUAGUC